GAUGAACGCUGGCGGCGUGCCUAAUACAUGCAAGUCGAGCGAACAGACGAGGAGCUUGCUCCUCUGACGUUAGCGGCGGACGGGUGAGUAACACGUGGAUAACCUCCCUAUAAGACUGGGAUAACUUCGGGAAACCGGAGCUAAUACCGGAUAAUAUAUUGAACCGCAAGGUUCAAUAGUGAAAGACGGUUUUGCUGUCACUUAUAGAUGGAUCCGCGCCGCAUUAGCUAGUUGGUAAGGUAACGGCUUACCAAGGCAACGAUGCGUAGCCGACCUGAGAGGGUGAUCGGCCACACUGGAACGGAGACACGGUCCAGACUCCUACGGGAGGCAGCAGUAGGGAAUCUUCCGCAAUGGGCGAAAGCCUGACGGAGCAACGCCGCGUGAGUGAUGAAGGUCUUCGGAUCGUAAAACUCUGUUAUUAGGGAAGAACAAAUGUGUAAGUAACUAUGCACGUCUUGACGGUACCUAAUCAGAAAGCCACGGCUAACUACGUG
rnacentral:rRNA from 1 species